rnacentral:lncRNA from 1 species
UCAACAAACUUAAAAAUCUUGAAAAUUUCUACCUUUUGUCUGCCUUUUGGAGCCAACACUUUCUUCCCCAAAUACCCAACCGUUGUAAUCUUCAACAUCUUGCUUACCAGAAGAAGCCCAAGACAGUUGAAGGUUAACUUGGAUAACAGAUGAGUGGUCUAUGUGCCUGAGAACCUAGGUAAAAAAAGAGGGAACCAUACAAACGACAAUUUGGAAAAAAAGAGACAGCUAGAAAAAACUAAUGGAGACGUACCGCAAUAAGCCCAGUAGGUGGCCGGAUUUUAUGGUGAAUCGGUGGGAAGAAAAGAUCCCGAUCUCUCUCUCAUCAUGAUCCUUCUCUUUAUAUCCUGACGCCGCUCACUCUCUCUAUCUCAGAAUCUGUUCAACUUGUCUCAAAAUUUUGAAGAAGGUCGAUCGUUGGCGGAACCCUAAACACCGCCGCGUUCCUCCGCCCCAUGCCCCUCUCUCUCUCUCUCUACACCGAAUACACUUACUCUCUUUUAGCCUCUCUACCUCUCUUGCUUAUACAAAACAGAUGAAUCAGACUACGUGGAUAAAAGUUUGCAGAGUGGUUGGAAAUUAGGGCUUGAACUUUCAUGUCGGCGAAGAAGUGAAGUUUGAGGGUGGAGAUUAAGGUGAAGAACUGAACAUGAAUGUACAAACCUUCAAAGAAAAGGAACAACAACAAACAUCACAUUAAACAAUCAAAGCCUAUAGUACAAGACUUUGUUGCUGAGAACACCAACUAAGCUAGUAGUACAACAUCAGAUUGCCAACAUAUGUUGCAAAUUAGACUAUAUAUAAAUGUAAUUUUAGUUUUACAAAAAUGUACUAUUGUUAGACCAUGUGUAGUGGUAAAUUGUUAUAAUGCCCCCACCAUGGGGCAUUAUUUGACACGUGUCAUCCCAGUCAGCAUGGGGUAAAAUAGCAUAAAGUGGUGUAGUGGGGCAUU